UGGCGCUAGUGCCAGUUUUUCACGAUUUUUUGCUUGGGUGACACCGUUGGGCGCUAUUUUGAGUGUCGCACCUACCGCUGAGCGAUAGGCCAACGCUAAGCGUUGUACUUAUGGGCCUGAGCCAAAAUUCUACUAUUUUUUUGAGUUUAUAAAUAGAUUUGUGUGCGACCCUUAGGGUUAUCUUUUGGCAGAGAAAGACGGAGAACACUCUUU
rnacentral:lncRNA from 1 species